rnacentral:rRNA from 1 species
CUCGUAGGCGGUUCGUCGCGUCCGGCGUGAAAGUCCAUCGCCUAACGGUGGAUCUGCGCCGGGUACGGGCGGGCUUGAGUGCGGUAGGGGAGACUGGAAUUCCCGGUGUAACGGUGGAAUGUGUAGAUAUCGGGAAGAACACCAAUGGCGAAGGCAGGUCUCUGGGCCGUCACUGACGCUGAGGAGCGAAAGCGUGGGGAGCGAACA